CUACGUGCCAGCAGCCGCGGUAAUACGUAGGUCCCGAGCGUUGUCCGGAUUUAUUGGGCGUAAAGCGAGCGCAGGCGGUUUGAUAAGUCUGAAGUUAAAGGCUGUGGCUCAACCAUAGUUCGCUUUGGAAACUGUCAAACUUGAGUGCAGAAGGGGAGAGUGGAAUUCCAUGUGUAGCGGUGAAAUGCGUAGAUAUAUGGAGGAACACCGGUGGCGAAAGCGGCUCUCUGGUCUGUAACUGACGCUGAGGCUCGAAAGCCAGGGGAGCGAACGGGAUUAGAUACCCCGGUAGUCCUGGCCGUAAACGAUGGGUACUAGGUGUAGGAGGUAUCGACCCCUUCUGUGCCGGAGUUAACGCAAUAAGUACCCCGCCUGGGGAGUACGACCGCAAGGUUGAAACUCAAAGGAAUUGACGGGGGCCCGCACAAGCGGUGGAGUAUGUGGUUUAAUUCGACGCAACGCGAAGAACCUUACCAGGUCUUGACAUUGAUGGACAGAACUAGAGAUAG
rnacentral:rRNA from 1 species